CCUACGGGCGGCAGCAGUGGGGAAUAUUGGGCAAUGGGCGCAAGCCUGACCCAGCAACGCCGCGUGAAGGAAGAAGGCUUUCGGGUUGUAAACUUCUUUUGGCAGGGACGAAGGAAUUGACGGUACCUGACGAAUAAGUCACGGCUAACUACGUGCCAGCAGCCGCGGUAAUACGUAGGUGGAAAGCGUUAUUCGGAUUUAUUGGGGGUAAAGAGCGUGUAGGCGGGAAGGCAAGUCAGAUGUGAAAACUAUGGGCUCAACCCAUAGCCUGCAUUUGAAACUGUAUGUCUUGAGUGCUGGAGAGGCGAUCGGAAUUCCGGGUGUAGCGGUGAAAUGCGUAGAGAUCCGGAGGAACACCAGUGGCGAAGGCGGAUUGCUGGACAGUAACUGACGCUGAGGCGCGAAAGCGUGGGGAGCAAACAGGAUUAGAUACCCGUGUAGUC
rnacentral:rRNA from 1 species